rnacentral:RNase_P_RNA from 2 species
GGAGUCGGCCAGGCAACCGCUGUAGCGAGGCUAUGGAGGAAAGUCCGGGCUCCUUCGGACAGGGCGCCAGGUAACGCCUGGGGGGCGCGAGCCCACGGAAAGUGCCACAGAAAAUAUACCGCCGGCUUUAGUCCGGUAAGGGUGAAAUGGUGCGGUAAGAGCGCACCGCGCGACUGGCAACAGUUCGCGGCACGGUAAACCCCGCCCGGAGCAAGACCAAAUAGGGGAGUAGGGCAACGCACAACGCCCCCAAUAGGGGCGUUUGGGCGGCUGCCCGCCGUCGGUUCCGAACGGACUCCCGGGUAGGUUGCUCGAGGUAGCCGGUGACGGCUAUCCCAGAUGAAUGGUUGCCAGCGACAGAACCCGGCUUAUUGCCGGCUCCGGCU